AGUGAACGCUGGCGGUAGGCCUAAUACAUGCAAGUCGAACGGCAGCACAGUAAGAGCUUGCUCUUACGGGUGGCGAGUGGCGGACGGGUGAGGAAUACAUCGGAAUCUACUUUUUCGUGGGGGAUAACGUAGGGAAACUUACGCUAAUACCGCAUACGACCUACGGGUGAAAGCAGGGGAUCUUCGGACCUUGCGCGAUUGAAUGAGCCGAUGUCGGAUUAGCUAGUUGGCGGGGUAAAGGCCCACCAAGGCGACGAUCCGUAGCUGGUCUGAGAGGAUGAUCAGCCACACUGGAACUGAGACACGGUCCAGACUCCUACGGGAGGAAGCAGUGGGGAAUAUUGGACAAUGGGCGCAAGCCUGAUCCAGCCAUACCGCGUGGGUGAAGAAGGCCUUCGGGUUGUAAAGCCCUUUUGUUGGGAAAGAAAAGCAGCAGGUUAAUACCCCGCUGUUCUGACGGUACCCAAAGAAUAAGCACCGGCUAACUUCGUG
rnacentral:rRNA from 1 species